UCCCCAGGCCAGAGCAGAUGGUCAGCAGGACACUGGGUUAAAACUGGAAAUAUGGCAGCCGUCUGGGGGUUUCUACCUGAUUUGUGGGUUUCCUAAUCAAAGCCAAAAUAUAUAAAGCCCAAAAGACCCAGAUAACGGACAAAAAACAUUGAAGGAUUAAAGACUGUCGAUCUCUACCAGGCCCUGGGCUGGGCGGUGAAAGAAAAAAAAAACAACCUAAAGAAAAAGUAUUCCUGGGUGCUCUGUAGGCUGCUGCUGCUGGGUAGCCGAGCUGUCACCUCCAUGAAGUCAUUGUGCAGUUGGUUCCACCUUUUAAAAUCAGUUCAGUCCCAAAGAAAUGCUGAGACUGUUGAAGGGGAAAUCGACUUUUGGGGUUUUUUGCUUGUUUGUUUGGGUAUUUGGUUUUGUGUUGUUUUGUGAGAGUGUAAGCGACACUCUGGGUUUUGUUAACCCACUGGGCAUGAAAUUAGAAGACAGGGUCCACGGGAGCUGGUGGGGACAGAGGUGGGGGAGAGAAAGACAUAAAGCCCCCAAGGAGAGGAGGCGGACCCCCCCUGGGUUGGGGUCCAGUCCUUGUCUCUGGUUGUGGAUAGAGUGAGGCGUUUCUCCAGACAGAGGGACCGGCCAGGAGCAGGGUUGGGCCCUGCAAGCCUUGAUCAG
rnacentral:lncRNA from 1 species